UGGGGACAGUGUCUGGUGGGUAGUUUGACUGGGGCGGUCUCCUCCUAAAGAGUAACGGAGGAGCACGAAGGUUGGCUAAUCCUGGUCGGACAUCAGGAGGUUAGUGCAAUGGCAUAAGCCAGCUUGACUGCGAGCGUGACGGCGCGAGCAGGUGCGAAAGCAGGUCAUAGUGAUCCGGUGGUUCUGAAUGGAAGGGCCAUCGCUCAACGGAUAAAAGGUACUCCGGGGAUAACAGGCUGAUACCGCCCAAGAGUUCAUAUCGACGGCGGUGUUUGGCACCUCGAUGUCGGCUCAUCACAUCCUGGGGCUGAAGUAGGUCCCAAGGGUAUGGCUGUUCGCCAUUUAAAGUGGUACGCGAGCUGGGUUUAGAACGUCGUGAGACAGUUCGGUCCCUAUCUGCCGUGGGCGCUGGAGAAUUGAGGGGGGCUGCUCCUAGUACGAGAGGACCGGAGUGGACGCAUCACUGGUGUUCGGGUUGUCAUGCCAAUGGCAUUGCCCGGUAGCUACAUGCGGAAGAGAUAAGUGCUGAAAGCAUCUAAGCA
rnacentral:rRNA from 1 species